AAGACCAUACUGUCAGGGAUAAUUUCUGUAGUUUGUUACCAGAGCAGUUUCUCUGAACAUGUAAAACAAACAAACAAAAAU
ensembl:snoRNA U3 Small nucleolar RNA U3